rnacentral:rRNA from 1 species
AGUGAACGCUGGCGGUAGGCCUAACACAUGCAAGUCGAACGGCAGCACAGUAAGAGCUUGCUCUUACGGGUGGCGAGUGGCGGACGGGUGAGGAAUACAUCGGAAUCUACUUUUUCGUGGGGGAUAACGUAGGGAAACUUACGCUAAUACCGCAUACGACCUACGGGUGAAAGCAGGGGAUCUUCGGACCUUGCGCGAUUGAAUGAGCCGAUGUCGGAUUAGCUAGUUGGCGGGGUAAAGGCCCACCAAGGCGACGAUCCGUAGCUGGUCUUAGAGGAUGAUCAGCCACACUGGAACUGAGACACGGUCCAGACGCCUACGGGAGGCAGCAGUGGGGAAUAUUGGACAAUGGGCGCAAGCCUGAUCCAGCCAUACCGCGUGGGUGAAGAAGGCCUUCGGGUUGUAAAGCCCUUUUGUUGGGAAAGAAAAGCAGCAGGUUAAUACCCCGCUGUUCUGACGGUACCCAAAGAAUAAGCACCGGCUAACUUCGUG